CCUACGGGGUGCAGCAGUGAGGAAUAUUGGUCAAUGGGCGCGAGUCUGAACCAGCCAAGUAGCGUGAAGGAUGACUGCCCUAUGGGUUGUAAACUUCUUUUAUAUGGGAAUAAAAUGUUCCACGUGUGGGAUUUUGUAUGUACCAUAUGAAUAAGGAUCGGCUAACUCCGUGCCAGCAGCCGCGGUAAUACGGAGGAUCCGAGCGUUAUCCGGAUUUAUUGGGUUUAAAGGGAGCGUAGGUGGAUUGUUAAGUCAGUUGUGAAAGUUUGCGGCUCAACCGUAAAAUUGCAGUUGAAACUGGCAGUCUUGAGUACAGUAGAGGUGGGCGGAAUUCGUGGUGUAGCGGUGAAAUGCUUAGAUAUCACGAAGAACUCCGAUUGCGAAGGCAGUUCACUGGACUGCAACUGACACUGAGGCUCGAAAGUGUGGGUAUCAAACAGGAUUAGAUACCCGAGUAGUC
rnacentral:rRNA from 1 species